CCUACGGGAGGCAACAGUGGGGAAUAUUGGACAAUGGGGGCAACCCUGAUCCAGCCAUGCCGCGUGUGUGAAGAAGGCCCUCGGGUUGUAAAGCACUUUCAGUGAGGAAGAACGCCUGGUGGUUAAUACCCAUCAGGAAAGACAUCACUCACAGAAGAAGCACCGGCUAACUCCGUGCCAGCAGCCGCGGUAAUACGGAGGGUGCGAGCGUUAAUCGGAAUUACUGGGCGUAAAGCGCGCGUAGGUGGCUUGAUAAGCCGGUUGUGAAAGCCCCGGGCUCAACCUGGGAACGGCAUCCGGAACUGUCAAGCUAGAGUGCAGGAGAGGAAGGUAGAAUUCCCGGUGUAGCGGUGAAAUGCGUAGAGAUCGGGAGGAAUACCAGUGGCGAAGGCGGCCUUCUGGACUGACACUGACACUGAGGUGCGAAAGCGUGGGUAGCAAACAGGAUUAGAUACCCUUGUAGUC
rnacentral:rRNA from 1 species